AGCUGCGGUAGCUUAAUUGGUACAGCAACGUACUCUUAAUUCAUGUGUAGCGGGUUCAAUUACCGCCCCAGCCG